AAAAAUGAAGAAGAAUGGUGCUCUGAGCCUCAGCAACCUCCACUGAGCUCCAGAAGUCGUGCUGGCUUCAUAUGGAUGAGAUCAAGAUGUGAAAAGACCGAAAUACCCAAGCUGCCACGUUUCUGCAUUGUGUACCGGUACAAGCUAAUGGCUGUACCGGUACAGCAAGCAGAAAAAGCUGAUUUUCGCCGGUUCAAUGCACUUUCUUGUUUCGGACAUUCCGAUC
rnacentral:lncRNA from 1 species